CCAAAUUUCCUAUGAAUACAAGCUCCUCUACUUCAGCAAUCCAUCAAUUUGUACAUGUUGCAAAGGUUUCUUCCCCUUUCGGCACAUCAUCUGACCGAUUCCCUGUAACACAAGCACAUAUUCGAUACUACAAAAUUAUGUGUAGUCUUGCACACAGUCAAUGGAGUGGUGAAGAUGUUGUUCAGUUCUAUAAGACUCAUGUCACUUAUGGCUCUCUGGGCGAAUCUGUUGAGCCUGCUGGACUUGUUGAUAAUUUCUUCAUUUCUGGCUAUUGUCGCAAGUUUUUUGAGGAUUGUCACCCAAGAAAAUCAAAGAAACACUAUUUUUUCACAUCCGUGGGGGAUUGUAUGCUGAGAUAUAAAACUGACUAUGAUGUUAAGACUGUAAAGAAGUCUUUUCUUGGUGCAAACUCUGCCCAC